ACGAACGCUGGCGGUGUGCUUAACACAUGCAAGUCGAACGGUGAAGCGCCUUCCUUUUUGGUGGGUGUGGAUGAGUGGCGAACGGGUGAGUAACACGUGAGUAACCUGCCCCCUUCUUCUGGAUAACCGCAUGAAAGUGUGGCUAAUACGGGAUAUUCUGGGUCUGUCGCAUGAUGGGUCUGGGAAAGAUAUUGUUUCGGUGGGGGAUGGGCUCGCGGCCUAUCAGCUUGUUGGUGGGGUGAUGGCCUACCAAGGCGGUGACGGGUAGCCGGCCUGAGAGGGUGGACGGUCACACUGGGACUGAGACACGGACCAGACUCCUACGGGAGGCAGCAGUGGGGAAUAUUGCACAAUGGGCGCAAGCCUGAUGCAGCGACGCCGCGUGAGGGAUGGAGGCCUUCGGGUUGUGAACCUCUUUCGCCAGUGAAGCAGGCCUGCCUCGUUUGUGGGUGGGUUGACGGUAGCUGGAUAAGAAGCGCCGGCUAACUACGUG
rnacentral:rRNA from 1 species